rnacentral:ncRNA from 1 species
CAAAGGCUUGGUCCUGACUUUACUAUCAGCUUCAGCUCAAAUUAUACAUGCAAGUAUCCGCACCCCUGUGAGAAUGCCCUUAAUCCCCCGCCCGGGGACGAGGAGCCGGCAUCAGGCACACAACUCAGUAAGCCCAAGACGCCUUGCUACGCCACACCCCCAAGGGAACUCAGCAGUAAUAAACAUUAAGCUAUAAGUGAAAACUUGACUUAAUUAGGGCUAUUUAGGGUUGGUAAAACUCGUGCCAGCCACCGCGGUUAGACGAGAAACUCUAGUUGAUAUAUACGGCGUAAAGAGUGGUUAUGGGUAAAAAUUAAUAAAGUCAAACAGCCUCCUAGCUGUUAUACGCACUAUGAGAGCAUGAAGCCCCCUAACGAAAGUAACUUUAAUACCUCCUGACCCCACGAAAGCUAAGAAACAAACUGGGAUUAGAUACCCCACUAUGCUUAGCCCUAAACCCCGAUGUUUGUUUUACAAGAACAUCCGCCAGGGCACUACAAGCGAUAGGUUAAAACCCAAAGGACUUGAUCGGGUCUCAACCCGCCUAGAGAGCCUGUUCUAGAACCGAUGAUCCACGUUAAACCUCACCACCCCUUGUUUUUCCCGCCUAUAUACCGCCGUCGCAAGCUUACCCUAUGAAGGAUAAACAGUAAGCAAAAUGGGUUUACCCCCAAAACGUCAGGUCGAGGUGUAGCUUAUGGGGUGGGAAGAAAUGGGCUACAUUUUCUGCACCAGAAUAAACGAACGACACUAUGAAACUAGUGCCCGAAGGUGGAUUUAGUAGUAAAAAUCAAAUAGAGGGUCAUUUUGAAACAGGCUCUGAGACACGUACACACCGCCCGUCGCCCUCCCCUAAUAUGAGUCAAAAUUAGUAAAUAACCUAACAAUCAUUACCACGGGGAGAUAAGUCGUAACAUGGUAAGUGUACCGGAAGGUGCACUUGGAACAU